AAAUGAAAUUGAACACAUGAUAAUCAUGUUAAAUAUGAAACUCAGAUAAAAAACUUAAACGCGUUCAAACUCAUCUCUUCUUCGUUCUCCCCUCCGUCGUGCCGAAGGUUAUCCCCAGUGACGGAGGCUCUCUAAAAUCAAACACCAUCACCUAACCUAGUUUGAAUCCUUAAAUAUGAAUAUACCAUUGAAAUUCCCUAAUUCCUCGAGAACUUCUCAAGUCAAAACAAAACCUUGACGAACCCUAACAAGGAAAAAAGAAAUUAAAUUGCACUCAUUUGGAAUAAAAGUCUCCGGGGUUAGGGCUUUGAUUCCCCUAACCUCAAGCUACGUCACGGUAACAAGGAUUUAUGCAAAUAGUGGAAAAAAUCAUGAACUCACCGGUGGAGCACGCGCAGUGAUCACCAGAAUUCUAGUUAAACUAUAGGUUAACUUGUAUAGACCGAGUUGCUUUGUGUGGGUCAAUGGCUGCUACUUUGGAGAUGUGCAGGACAUGGUUUCACAUGGCUUUUGAAGUGCAUUGGUUGAUUGUGCUUAGACUGUUUGGGGAUUCAAUGGCUAGUGUUAUGGAAUUGAGAUAUGAAGUUGACUCUGGAUCAUGCUUUUGAAGCCAUGGAGUGGAUGCAAGAAUUGUUUUGGGAAUUUGGAAUGCUUGGACAUUGUUGGGUAAUUUGGUUGUAAUAUAGGAUUUACGUUGUAAUUCAAAUUGGAAAUUAUAUGUUUAGAAAUGGUUGAAUUGAAAUGUAAUGUAUGGUUAUAACAUGAUUUUGUGGUUUAUGGAAGUGUAUAUGGUGAUGUCAUGGUCUAUGUAUGGUAUUAAUGAAUGAAUGAAAACUUGGUUGAAACUUGAUUUAA